rnacentral:rRNA from 1 species
CCUACGGGAGGCAGCAGUGAGGAAUAUUGGUCAAUGGACGCAAGUCUGAACCAGCCAUGCCGCGUGCAGGAAGACGGCUCUAUGAGUUGUAAACUGCUUUUGUACGAGGGUAAACGCAGAUACGCGUAUCUGUCUGAAAGUAUCGUACGAAUAAGGAUCGGCUAAUUCCGUGCCAGCAGCCGCGGUAAUACGGAGGAUUCAAGCGUUAUCCGGAUUUAUUGGGUUUAAAGGGUGCGUAGGCGGUCGGAUAAGUUAGAGGUGAAAUCCCGAGGCUCAACUUCGGAAUUGCCUCUGAUACUGUUCGGCGAGAGAGUAGUUGCGGUAGGCGGAAUGUAUGGUGUAGCGGUGAAAUGCUGAGAGAUCAUACAGAACACCGAUUGCGAAGGCAGCUUACCAAGCUACUUCUGACGUUGAGGCACGAAAGCGUGGGGAGCAAACAGGAUUAGAUACCCGGGUAGUC